GUGGUGACAAGAACUCUGUGGAAAAGGAUUCUGAGAAACCCUGUUUGCCCAAAUCAGUUAUCUGUGUACAAAUUUCAUUUUUCAUCUUCCUGCUGGCUCUGGGGCAAAAUGUGUAAUCUCAUUUGAUAAGUCACGUCAUGAAUUCUACUGCUCAGGUUCUCUCAGCGCUUCUCAAGUGGCACCAUGAUAACAUUCAAUGCAGCAAGCCCUACCAUUCCGUCGCCUGUGAUAUCCCCUUGUAAUGGGCAUUCACUCUGGGCAAAUCAGCGCUCUUGCAAAGAAUCUGCUCUCAUCAUCUCCUGAAACUACUUCAAGUCUCCUGACUGACCUCUCUCUUUUAUUCCUGUAACUAAUGUAGAGCUCCAUAAAUUAUGGGACAAUCAUAAUAAAAACUACUACUAUUUCUGA